UUCCUUUUCUGUCUUAAGUGUUUCAGCAUCUAUUCCCUCCAGUGACAUCAACUCCUCUGCCAAAGACUGCAGCAAGUCAUCUGCAAGAGUUCCAUCACUCACCUCAUAAAGAAACCUCUGGAAUGCAGGUAUUUUGGAUUGCAUCUGCUGGAUAGUCCCAUCAGAAGUUUCAAAAACAUGGCACUAAUCUCUGAAGGAGCUGGAUGGUUUUUCAUCCCAUUUGGGACAUUAUCCCUCCUUUUGAGUUGCCUGCAUUUAGCUCGACUGUAUCUCCCUUAUUGAGCUUGUUUCCUUCUGUUAACCUCCACUGUUUUCCAAUGAUUUGUGUUUUAACUUGAAAUACUGUAUGGACCUGUCUGGUUUUCUCAUAAGACUUGCCGGCUCUAAGAUUCUCAUAAACAGGAGCCGCAAACAUUUCAUAGAUUGCUGGACCUUCAUCUCCCUUGUGGGAUUGCUUUCUCUAAGUUUUGCCUUUGAAUAAGUGGGUGAAUUUAUCCCGUUUCUUGUGGUAUUAAGAGUACUCUGAUUUCUGUGUGCCAGAAUGUUGAAUGACUGAUUCAUGUGACAAGAUAUUUAGCCUUUUCUGUCCUUUCGUUUGAUCAUCUUAACCAUUUUGUUCUUGUUAUGUGGAAUUAGAUCUACUCCACUUAUGUCCACAUUGGUGAGGUGCUUCUCACCUUCCAUUAAACAGGACCCUCUGUCUUUGACUAGAGGUUGGAUUUCUCUGGCUAUAUUGCUGGGUCCAUCAGAAGCAGUGCAGGAUUUCCUGCAGGGCUCGAUAUUAACGCUUGUCCGGGAAAAGUGGGUUUUUCAAGGGGCAAGUGACAGAGAAUUUUACUUGCCCGACCGGACAAGCAGACUGAUUAAAACGUCAAUAACAAAAAAAUAACCAGCUAUAUUUGUGAUAGCCUAGGCCUGCAUCACUUAUUAGAAAGUUCAUAUUCUUAUUUUGCUGUUGAAAGUAAUCAAGAGCAUGUCAUUUAAUAAUUCUCUAGUGAUCUAGUAACAGCUGCGCCCUGUUUGAUUGACAGGCGGCGUAUGUGUGUGUGCUGAACAUUCGCGUGUGUUCUGAAAAUGCUCACGCUAAUGCGCACCGUCAAAUACAUUUCAAAAUUCCGCCAAAAUGCCCGUCUUGGUGAGGUAUUCAUGUAAACAGAGAGACUGAUGUCUAAAGAGAACGUAAACAGCAGAGAAAAAAGUGGAUUUGUAUUAAAAUGUCGGAUUUGUAAGUAUAAAUGUAAGCUAAUAGACCUGCUGCUGUCUAGUGUGUCAUUAUAAUCAAACAACCAUAACAAGAAAACGAGAAAACACUCACUGCUCUUGACUGAGUAACUUUAGUAGCUUUAAAAAGUAUGAAUGUAUUAUAAUCAUACAGUGAAGACCAGUAGUAGUUUUAUGUUGCAUUUCAUUUUGAAUGUUUGCUUGAAUACUUGGUAGCCUACAGCUGUUAAAAACUUUUAAAGCUGUUAAAAAAUCACUGAAUUUUCUUAAUUUGUAUUUUUUGUUCUACUAUUUUCUAUUCAUUGCUGUUUUUAUUGUUAUUUUGUUACUGACUGUUUACUAGUCUUGAAUAAUGACUUAAGAACUUGAAACCAUUCUUCCAUAAUUAACAUAUUAAUUAGUGUUAUUAUUUGUUGUGGUUUUGAAGCUGGUAUUGAGAAUCGUCAAAUUUCACUACCAACUACUGAAAUUUUGGUAUUGUGAUAAUGUAUAGCCUUUAUUGUACAUGGUAGAUCUUGCUGCAAUAACAUGAUGAAAAAGUAGAUCUCAUUCCACAGAACUAUGAGCAUCCCUGCUGUUAAUGGUGGCGAUGGAGGCUUUUCUUUAUUUAACUACUUUACGUAACAAAAAAUAAUUACCUUAUGACAAUAGUCUCCUCCCAGUGCAGUUUAUAUUUCUGAUAAUGAAAUUUUCAUUUUUGAAAAAUAUACAACAUAAACUUUGACAUGGUACUUGAGCAUGUAACUUAAAUGUCCUUUUUUCAAUCCGGACAAGUCAAUUUUACUCAGACAAGUGAAUGACCAAUUUACUUGUCCAGAGGACAAGCACAUGGCAAUGCUUAAUGUCGAGACCUGUUGUGAUUGUCAAUAUUUUGAGACUUUUUCUCAAGACCUUCUGAGUUUUCAGUUGUUUCAUAAGACUCAUGUCUCUUUUCAGCCUCAACCUCGAAUGAUCCGAAAGGUGUGUCAUCUUUCCUAUCAUCUGAAUUUACAUUGUCUGUCUCUUUUGUGAUAAGUCCAAAACUGAUGAAAUUCUGGAAAUCCAAAUGGGACUCCAAUUCCAAAUUCAGUCCCCAAAUAUCUUGUGUGUCUCUUGGGGAUCAUUCUCCUUCUCUUCUUGGCUACUACUGCUGCAGGAAUUGCUCUCCUCACCGCCUGCUUUGAUGCCUUUGGAUCUUUUGGAAAACGUCCUGGAGAUCCUUUAUGCUCUUCGUCUGGACUCGGUGAGGGGAGAGAUGCUAGUUUUUUUAAGGGUAGUGGGUGCUCAAGUUUUGAAAGCGCAGAGCCAUCCUUAAAUCUACUGUCUAGCGGAGCUAGAUGUUUAGGUGUCCUUGAGCACAGAGUAGGUGGUGAAGUCUGGUAAUCACAUCAGCAAUGAAAAUUGUAUUGAAGGAGAUGCUCAGACAUACACUACCAGUCAAAAGUUUUGAAACACGACUGAAAUGUUUCUCAUGAUCUUAAAAAUCUUUUGAUCUGAAGGCGUAUGCUUAAAUGUUUGAAAUUAGUUUUGUAGACAAAAAUAUAAUUGUGCCACCAUAUUAAUUUAUUUCAUUAUAAAACUAAAAUGUAAUAAAAAAAAAUAAAGACGUUGUUGAAAUUGAUGACUUGGACCAAAUAAUAAAGAAAAGCAUCCAAUAAGUGCCCAACUUAGAUGGGAACUCCUUCAGUACUGUUUAAAAAGCAUCCCAGGGUGAUUCCUCAAGAAUUUGGUUGUGAAAAUGUCAAGAGUACAUGUCUGCAAAUUCUAGGCACAUAUAACACAGUUUUGAUUUAUUUUGGAUUUUGUUUAGUCACAACAUAAUUCCCAUAGUUCCAUUUAUGUUAUUCCAUAGUUUUGAUGACUUUACUAUUAUUCUAAAUGUGAAAAAAAAAGAAAAAAGAAUUAUAAUAAAGAAUGAGUAAGUGUUUCAAAACUUUUGACCGGUAGUGUAUGUUUGCAUUUAUUUAAAUAUUUCAAAUAAGUACUAUAUGUUCUUACCUUUUGUCUAAUAUCUUCAUCCACUGUUCACCACCUCUGAGCCCUGUAGUUUAUUGAAGAAAAUAAAAAUCAUUACAUGCC